rnacentral:rRNA from 1 species
UACGAAGGGGGCUAGCGUUGCUCGGAAUCACUGGGCGUAAAGCGCACGUAGGCGGCUUGUUAAGUCAGGGGUGAAAUCCUGGAGCUCAACUCCAGAACUGCCUUUGAUACUGGCGAGCUUGAGUUCGGGAGAGGUGAGUGGAACUGCGAAGUGUAGAGGUGAAAUUCGUAGAUAUUCGCAAGAACACCAGUGGCGAAGGCGGCUCACUGGCCCGAUACUGACGCUGAGGAGCGAAAGCGUGGGGAGCGAACGAGG